rnacentral:rRNA from 1 species
AGAGAGCUUGCUUUCUCGAGCGAGUGGCGAACGGGUGAGUAACGCGUGAGGAACCUGCCUCAAAGAGGGGGACAACAGUUGGAAACGACUGCUAAUACCGCAUAAGCCCACGGGUCGGCAUCGACCAGAGGGAAAAGGGGCAAUCCGCUUUGAGAUGGCCUCGCGUCCGAUUAGCUGGUUGGUGAGGUAAUGGCCCACCAAGGCGACGAUCGGUAGCCGGACUGAGAGGUUGUACGGCCACAUUGGGACUGAGACACGGCCCAGACUCCUACGGGAGGCAGCAGUGGGGAAUAUUGCACAAUGGGGGAAACCCUGAUGCAGCGACGCCGCGUGGAGGAAGAAGGUCUUCGGAUUGUAAACUCCUGUUGUUGAGGAAGAUAAUGACGGUACUCAACAAGGAAGUGACGGCUAACUACGUGCCAGCAGCCGCGGUAAAACGUAGGUCACAAGCGUUGUCCGGAAUUACUGGGUGUAAAGGGAGCGCAGGCGGGAAGACAAGUUGGAAGUGAAAUCCAUGGGCUCAACCCAUGAACUGCUUUCAAAACUGUUUUUCUUGAGUAGUGCAGAGGUAGGCGGAAUUCCCGGUGUAGCGGUGGAAUGCGUAGAUAUCGGGAGGAACACCAGUGGCGAAGGCGGCCUACUGGGCACCAACUGACGCUGAGGCUCGAAAGUGUGGGUAGCAAACAGGAUUAGAUACCCUGGUAGUCCACACCGUAAACGAUGAUUACUAGGUGUUGGAGGAUUGACCCCUUCAGUGCCGCAGUUAACACAAUAAGUAAUCCACCUGGGGAGUACGACCGCAAGGUUGCAACU